rnacentral:rRNA from 1 species
GAUGAACGCUGGCGGCGUGCCUAAUACAUGCCAGUCGAGCGAACGGACGAGAAGCUUGCUUCUCUGAUGUUAGCGGCGGACGGGUGAGUAACACGUGGAUAACCUACCUAUAAGACUGGGAUAACUUCGGGAAACCGGAGCUAAUACCGGAUAAUAUUUUGAACCGCAUGGUUCAGAAGUGAAAGACGGUCUUGCUGUCACUUAUAGAUGGAUCCGCGCUGCAUUAGCUAGUUGGUAAGGUAACGGCUUACCAAGGCAACGAUGCAUAGCCGACCUGAGAGGGUGAUCGGCCACACUGGAACUGAGACACGGUCCAGACUCCUACGGGAGGCAGCAGUAGGGAAUCUUCCGCAAUGGGCGAAAGCCUGACGGAGCAACGCCGCGUGAGUGAUGAAGGUCUUCGGAUCGUAAAACUCUGUUAUUAGGGAAGAACAUAUGUGUAAGUAACUGUGCACAUCUUGACGGUACCUAAUCAGAAAGCCACGGCUAACUACGUG